CUGGAGGGUAUGAUGCUGAGCAAAAUAAAGGGAAUACUUGGACGAUCUGGAGGACACGACAUCUUGAAACAAGCAAGGCUCCCCAGCACAUCCUGAGUCAGGAAACAAAGGCUACAUCACCGCAGUCCUUUAUGACAAGGAGAAAUCUAACUGCAUCUGCCCUCACCACCUCCACCUGCUCACGUGUUCUCCGAUGGAUCCACAGUCAACCGACACCUAGAACAGUCUCUCCAUUAAGCAGAGAGAUGACUUGAACCUUCCAGAAAGCUAGAUUUUGAGCUAACCUGGACCUGUUUCCCAACUCUGGAGAAGUGAUCUCCAGCUCAACAAUAUGUCACUGGAUAUAAAUGAAAAAGGAUGAAGAAAGUUCUGCGUCUACCUGAGCACCGAACCCCUUGGGCGAUGAGCCCCCACAUGAAGUUGGCACAGUAUUCACACCAAUGCGGGCCUCGGAAUGUGUGGACCUGUGAUCCAAAAAGAAGAAGAAUGUCAGAAAAUUCAGUUAUUUGAAGGCAGGUGGCCUUGGACAUUAAACACACAGAUGACGUCAAGAAACAAAGACUUCAGUGGGAGUGAGCAUCCCUCACUGGGCCUUUUCUUCCCAGUGAAGUGGAGUUACA